rnacentral:rRNA from 1 species
GACGAACGCUGGCGGCGUGCUUAACACAUGCAAGUCGAACGGAAAGGCCCUGCUUUUGUGGGGUGCUCGAGUGGCGAACGGGUGAGUAACACGUGAGUAACCUGCCCUUGACUUUGGGAUAACUUCAGGAAACUGGGGCUAAUACCGGAUAGGAGCUCCUGCUGCAUGGUGGGGGUUGGAAAGUUUCGGCGGUUGGGGAUGGACUCGCGGCUUAUCAGCUUGUUGGUGGGGUAGUGGCUUACCAAGGCUUUGACGGGUAGCCGGCCUGGGAGGGUGACCGGCGACAAGAGGACUAAGAGACGGCCCAGACUCCUACGGGAGGCAGAGGUGGGGAGUAUUGCACAAUGGGCGGAAGCCUGAUGCAACAACGCCGCGUGCGGGAUGACGGCCUUCGGGUUGUAAACCGCUUUCGCCUGUGACGAAGCGUUAGUGACGGUAAUGGGUAAAGAAGCACCGGCUAACUACGUG